AUACUUACCUGGCAGGGGAGAUACCAUGAUCAGCACGGUGGUUUUCCCAGCGUGAGGCUCAUCCAUUGCACUGCGGGUGUGCUGACCUCUGUGAUUUCCCCAAAUGUGGGAAACUCAACUGCAGAAUUUCUGGUAGUGGGGGACUGCGUUCGCGCUUUCCCCUG
rnacentral:snRNA from 1 species